rnacentral:rRNA from 1 species
GAUGAACGCUGGCGGCGUGCUUAACACAUGCAAGUCGAACGGUGAAAGAGAGCUUGCUCUCUGGAUCAGUGGCGAACGGGUGAGUAACACGUGAGCAAUCUGCCCCUGACUCUGGGAUAAGCGCUGGAAACGGCGUCUAAUACCGGAUACGAGCUGCGAAGGCAUCUUCAGCAGCUGGAAAGAACUUCGGUCAGGGAGGAGCUCGCGGCCUAUCAGCUGGUUGGUGAGGGAAUGGCUCACCAAGGCGUCGAAGGGUAGCCGGCCUGAGAGGGUGACCGGCCACACUGGGACUGAGACACGGCCCAGACUCCUACGGGAGGCAGCAGUGGGGAAUAUUGCACAAUGGGCGCAAGCCUGAUGCAGCAACGCCGCGUGAGGGACGACGGCCUUCGGGUUGUAAACCUCUUUUAGCAGGGAAGAAGCGAAAGUGACGGUACCUGCAGAAAAAGCACCGGCUAACUACGUGCCAGCCGCCGCCGUAA